rnacentral:ncRNA from 1 species
AUAAACAUAUAGAAGAGUAGAGUACACGUUGGAUUUUCUAAGAGAGCUUCUGGUUGGUGUGAAGAAGUGUGGAGAAGAUGUGGAAGAUGGACUUGGAAUGGCAGUGGUGACGUUUAGCCGCUGACGGUGUUGCACCCGUUAAUGAUGCAAGGUUAUACUGGCUGACAGAUAUCAAGUCGGUGUAUCUUAGCGAGACAGUUUGUGUAAGUAAACUGUGAACAAAGGUGGCAAUCACGGAAGUAUCCGUCCUUUUU